rnacentral:lncRNA from 1 species
CCCUGAUACAGAGAUCAAUGUAGUAGAAGAGAAGUGAAUGACAGAUAUGAAAUUAAUGGCAUUUAAAUUUAUGCAGUUACAAUAGAAAACAAUUCUUCUGGAAUGCCUUCCUGAGCCUUUGAUACGUGGUGGUAAUUAAAAGAGCUCCUUUAAAUCAUUUAUUAUAAUUAUGUUUUAAAUGAUCCAGUCCUGAAUGUAGCUGGCGUUUUGUUGUUUACUGGUAGCUGGUGACAUUUGGAAUUGACUAGACAUUUGCAAUAACUUGCCUACUUUUCAUAUACAGAGAACUGGACUGCCUCUUGCAAUUGAAUUGGAAAAGCAUACUAGAUCUCCUGUGGACCUCUAACUUUCUACUCUGCCUCCAUGAUCUGAUGCACUCCCUGGGCAGAAAGAAUCAGCAAGAGUUAAGCAAAGCCCAGCACUGGAUUAACAGCGUUGUCUUCAAGGGGGAAAGCACUUCAGUUUACUCUUUUCCUCUACAACCCUUGUCUCUACUCUGCACCUCACAGAUGAAAAUACUGAAGCUCGAGAGACGACCUGACUCGUACAACAUUCCACAGUAAUUGUACUGCGAUUUCAACCAGAUCUUCUGACUCCGACACCAAUGUUCCUCCAAAUAUUGGUUUAUUAUAUGUGCAUUUAUCCUGCGUACCCUGCCUACUUCCUCUGCAAGAAUUUGACUGAAGGAUUCUUAUUCCAGAAUGUACUUCCCCACUAAUGCCUUUAUCCUAAAAUCACAUGAGAUCUCAGAGACUAAAGGUGCCAGAAUGCAGUUGGUUCCUUGCCCAGGCCCAUAUUAUUCUGAAGAAGCAAAGAUAAUUCUCAAACACAUACACAUCCCAAUCUAAGUAAACAAGAGGGACAGAAAUAGAAAAAGAAAAAAAAAAAAACUACGGGAAAUGCACUUACGUUAUCCAUCCUCUAGAUGUUGGUUCUUUUUUUGUACCAUUGCCUUAGCAUGGUAAAGUACAUAUUAAAAAAUUUAUCAUUUUAAACAUUUUUGCAUGUCUGGUUCUGUGGUAUUAAGUACAUUCACAUUGUUGUGCAAUCAUCAACACCAUCUGUCUCCAGAACUUUUCAUUCCAAUUUUUUUCUUGAAUAUGGAAUGCUACUGGCUGAAAC